rnacentral:rRNA from 1 species
AACGAACGCUGGCGGCAUGCCUAACACAUGCAAGUCGAACGAGACCUUCGGGUCUAGUGGCGCACGGGUGCGUAACGCGUGGGAAUCUGCCCUUGGGUUCGGAAUAACAGUUAGAAAUGACUGCUAAUACCGGAUGAUGACUUCGGGGAAAGAUUUAUCGCCGAAAGAUCGGCCCGCGUCUGAUUAGCUAGUUGGUGGGGUAAUGGCCCACCAAGGCGACGAUCAGUAGCUGGUCUGAGAGGAUGAUCAGCCACAUUGGGACUGAGACACGGCCCAAACUCCUACGGGAGGCAGCAGUGGGGAAUAUUGGACAAUGGGGGCAACCCUGAUCCAGCCAUGCCGCGUGAGUGAUGAAGGCCCUAGGGUUGUAAAGCUCUUUUGUGCGGGAAGAUAAUGACGGUACCGCAAGAAUAAGCCCCGGCUAACUUCGUGCCAGCCGCCGCAGUAAUAC